UGGGGAAUAUUGCACAAUGGGCGAAAGCCUGAUGCAGCGACGCCGCGUGAGGGAUGACGGCCUUCGGGUUGUAAACCUCUUUCAGCAGGGACGAAGCGCAAGUGACGGUACCUGCAGAAGAAGCACCGGCUAACUACGUGCCAGCAGCCGCGGUAAUACGUAGGGUGCAAGCGUUGUCCGGAAUUACUGGGCGUAAAGAGUUCGUAGGCGGUUUGUCGCGUCGUUUGUGAAAACCAGCAGCUCAACUGCUGGCUUGCAGGCGAUACGGGCAGACUUGAGUACUGCAGGGGAGACUGGAAUUCCUGGUGUAGCGGUGAAAUGCGCAGAUAUCAGGAGGAACACCGGUGGCGAAGGCGGGUCUCUGGGCAGUAACUGACGCUGAGGAACGAAAGCGUGGGUAGCGAACAGG
rnacentral:rRNA from 12 species